rnacentral:lncRNA from 1 species
GUUUGUAUACAAACUUUGUAUAAUAUGUCUAGCACGUGACUGAGUCUGGCUUUGUAUGCUGUUGGCAAUAGGUUUGUAGUAUUUUGUGUUGUUCAACUGUCUCCGUGCCUCCAGUGCAUAUUGUUGUGAAUCCAUGAUGACAAUUUUUGAUCCUUUAUCCGCUGGUUUUAUGAUGAUAUUGGGAUUAUGUUUCAGAGCUGAGAUCGCUGUCCUGUCCUCCACCGUCAUUACGUCCAUUCUUUGAAAGAGCGGUGUGUAACGGUUUAGAAUGGUGAUGUCCCGGCGGAUCAGCCUCUGUGUGUGUUUGCUUAUUGCGUCGCAAGGAGGCUCCCAGCUCGACGGUAGCACGAACGGCGGCUGUGUCAUAUUCUCAUCCUGGAAGUACUCGAUCAGUUUGAUUCUUCGAUGGAAGUUAUGGAGGUCCCGGCGCAGCGUUGUCCGGUCUAGCGGGUUGGGAGUGGGGAUAAAAGUAAGUCCCUUCUCCAAUAGACGAAUUUGAAGUGUGUUCGGUUCAAAGAGUGUGGACAGGUUUAAAAUGUUUGAUGGAGAGCUCCAGGACAGGUCCGGUUUUAUCCGUGGAUUCGGGUGUGUAUUUAUUGUCAAGUCUGAACGAGGGAGCACGAUAUCCGUGUGUUGGAAGUGAGUGCUGUGCGCGAGGGAGGGAGGCGUCGAGAGAGCAUGAGGGCGGGGCUGAGCUCCGGAGAGAGUUUUUGUUAUUUUUUCACUCACCGAGCUUCCACUGUCCCGUAGUGUUUCCUCCGUGUCCAGAAUGGACCUCACGGCUAUUUUAAAUUUAGCUGCAGCUCUGCGCACCAGUGAUGGAACAUGUUUCUGGCGGUGUCCUUCGUCCAGUGUAUGGCGUCCUGUGUGGUGGCAAAUUCCUCGGCUGGCAGCGGACUUAAGAAAGGAAUGCGUCGCUUUGCGUGUGGAGAGAGUGGAGUCGCUGUCCGCUGCUUGUUCGGUUCGGACUGGAGAGGAUAUUGGACGGCAGAUGGAGCAGUGUGAUGACGGCAGAGAGGGAGAAGAAGGAGGAGGAGGAGGAGGAGGUGGUCCACCCCUGGAUUGAGGCCUUCUGGCUCCGGCUGCCACCUAGGUCGGUAAGUGCUGAAGUAUUAUAAAGUGCCUGCAGUUCCUGUCUUGUGAAUUAAUAUCAAAAUUGUAAUAAUAUUCCUAUUUGUAUAUCCUUUUUCCUUUUUCAUGCAGAACAAAUGACAAUAAGAGGACAAGUGCCAACAUCAGGUAAGUAUAAAGUUCAUGCAAGUGAAGAAUAAAUUAGAGUAGAUUAUUAAGGGGGGGAAAAAA